AGUUUGAUCCUGGCUCAGAUUGAACGCUGGCGGCAUGCCUUACACAUGCAAGUCGAACGGCAGCACGGGAGCGUUGCUCCUGGUGGCGAGUGGCGAACGGGUGAGUAAUACAUCGGAACGUACCCUGAAGUGGGGGAUAACGUAGCGAAAGUUACGCUAAUACCGCAUAUUCUGUGAGCAGGAAAGAGGGGGAUCGCAAGACCUCUUGCUUUAGGAGCGGCCGAUGUCGGAUUAGCUAGUUGGUGAGGUAAAGGCUCACCAAGGCGACGAUCCGUAGCGGGUCUGAGAGGAUGAUCCGCCACACUGGGACUGAGACACGGCCCAGACUCCUACGGGAGGCAGCAGUGGGGAAUUCUGGACAAUGGGCGCAAGCCUGAUCCAGCCAUGCCGCGUGAGUGAAGAAGGCCUUCGGGUUGUAAAGCUCUUUCGGUGGGGAAGAAAUUGCUUCGGUUAAUACCUGGAGUAGAUGACGGUACCCGCAUAAGAAGCACCGGCUAACUACGUG
rnacentral:rRNA from 1 species